CAACAAUUCAAUUCAGUUUUAUUUGUAUAGCGCCAAUUCAUAACAGAAGUUAUCUCAGGACACUUUUCAAAUAGAGCAGGUCUAGACCGAACUCCUUAUAACAUUAUUUACAGAGACCCAACAGUACCACCAUGAGCAAGACCUUGGCGACAAGGGCAAGGAAAAACUGCCUGUUAAAAGGCAGAAACCUAGGACAGAUCCUUCGGCUCUAGGUGGGUGGUCAUCUGUCUCGACCAAAUGCUGUCGCAUUACAUGCUGAAGUUACUUUUCUUGCCCAUAGGUGGCGCAGUUUGGGCUGCUGGGCCUAAAUUCUGCAUCAAUUACACUGUCUAUCCUAUUUAAUGAAUUCAAUGUUAUGCCCCGAGUAGGCAGACUCUUUGUUGUAUCAGACAUGACUGUGCUCUUCACUAUUGUGAAAGCAGAGCACUCAGACAUUUCUGCAUUUUGUGAAAGCGAUCACUGAGGUUUCUUGCCCGCGGGAGGGAAAAAAACAGGGAGGGAAACCCAAGAAGAGCAUGCAUUAAUAUUUCAUCUGGGGUGAAAGGGAUUAUGAAACUGAAAAUAUUCUCUGCAA